rnacentral:ncRNA from 1 species
UCACAGUUGGUUGAAAACAGAGUCCAUGGUGGAGUCCAUGGUGGAGGGUGCCCUUUGUGACUCUUUGACCCACGGGGGUCUGUUGCCCUCCUAAUACGGGAACCUCAGGUCAAGCGGGGCUACCCGCUGAGUUUAAGCAUAUCAAUAGGCGAAGGAAAAGAAACUAAUAAGGAUUCCCUUAGUAACAGCGAGCGAACAGGGAAAAGCCCACCAUCAGAACGGUCGCCCUUGGUGCCCGAAUGGUAGUCUGGAGAAGCAUCCUCAGUGGCAGAUAGGGCCCAAGUCCCCUGGAAGGGGGCACCAGAGUGGGUGAGAGCCUCGUCGUGGCUGGAAUCUAUUUUAAGACUAAGAUUGCAACUAAGAGGGGGUGAAUUAGUUGACUUAAAAUUAUGGCCACUU